UACAGAGGGUGCAAACGUUGUUCGGAAUUACUGGGCGUAAAGCGCGUGUAGGUGGCGAGGCAAGUCGGGUGUGAAAGCCCUGGGCUCAACCCAGGAAGUGCACUCGAUACUGCCUAGCUAGAGUCCCGGAGAGGUUGGUGGAACUCUCGGUGUAGAGGUGAAAUUCGUAGAUAUCGAGAAGAACACCGGUGGCGAAGGCGGCCAACUGGACGGUGACUGACACUGAGACGCGAAAGCGUGGGGAGCAAACAGGG
rnacentral:rRNA from 1 species